rnacentral:lncRNA from 1 species
UUUUAAGGGGGGAAACUGUUUAUUUAUAACUGUGUAGGUUACACUUUUUUAAAAACAUCUCAAAAAUUGUUUACAAAUUGUGUAGGUUGCACUUAUACAUAGUGCAGGAUGCAAUUUGUUGUGUUAAACAAGACUCUAACCCCGAAGACUAAUUUAAGAAUACAAUUUGUACAGAGAAAUUCAUUUCUUUAGGCAUUCAACAAGUUGUAGUCUAUUUUGC